GCUGUUCGCCCAUUAAAGCGGUACGCGAGCUGGGUUCAGAACGUCGUGAGACAGUUCGGUCCCUAUCCGUCGUGGGCGCAGGAAAUUUGAGAGGAUCUGUCCUUAGUACGAGAGGACCGGGAUGGACAUACCUCUGGUGUACCAGUUGUUCUGCCAAGAGCACCGCUGGGUAGCUACGUAUGGAUUAGAUAAUCGCUGAAAGCAUCUAAGUGAGAAACUAACCUCGAGAUGAGAUUUCCCAUUCGUCAGAAGUAAGACCCCUGAGAGACGAUCAGGUAGAUAGGCUAGAAGUGGAAGUGUAGUGAUGCAUGGAGCGGACUAGUACUAAUAGGUCGAGGACUUAACCAAG
rnacentral:rRNA from 1 species